GCCGCUGUAGCCUAGUUGGUAGAGGCGUCGCCAGUAUAGAUGGUGAAGGCCGCUGAUUCAUAUCCAGCCUGCGGUG